CAUACGGAUUGUGAAUCCAUAUGAAUCAUAUGGACAUAUGUUUUUUUUUUAAAAUUUUUUUUAUGAACCACUGAUCCGUAUGGUUUUUUUUUAAAAAAAAAUUAUAAAAUGCUUAAAUUGAUUUUAAAACUGUAUUUGCUUGUGCGCCAUACGGAUUCGUGAUCCGUAUGGUUCAUACGGAUUGUGAAUUCGUAUCAACCAUACGAAUCACUGAUCCAUAUGGUUUUUUUAAAAGUUUUUGGCAAAAUUGCAAAUUUGAUCCCUAGUUUAUCUCCAAUUUUGGAUUUGGUCUCUCAGUAAUUUAAUUCAUAAAUUUGGUCCUCCUAUUUUAUAAAAUCGUGCAAUGUUGGUCCCCCAGGCCACAAUUGGACGUUGACUGUUAACAUACAAAACAUUGAAACAAAUAUUUUAAUUGUAUAACAAAUUUGUAAGAUAUUAAAAAUGAUUGAAAUCGUUUAUUAAAAUCUAGGGCAUUGAAUAUAAAAAAUAGGAUAAUUAUUAUGCAGAUAAUGGUUAGAACUAGAGGUCUUGGUCGGACUUUAGGACGAUCAAUAGAAAAAGUGUUGGGGUGGAGAGACGAGAGUGACGAUGAUGCCCCCAGCAGUGAAGGCCUACUGCAUCAGCCUGUAGACAGAGACAACAUCAUGUUGUUGUCGAGGACCCUCCCACGGCUGAGGAGGAAUUGGUCGACGACUAACUAGAAGUACCUGUUGAAGAAGGUGUUGCUGAUGUUGAGGGUUUUCCAAGCGGACCCUAUGACACAUCAGUUCUGAGUGAUUUUGAAAAUCACAUUGCUUUGAGAGUGUGGAAUGGAGAGGAACGUCCUGAGUUGAAGCUAUCUUCCCAUGGAAGGAAGAUGGCUAAGUUUAGGAGGCUUGCCCUAGAGAUUGAAGGCCUUGUGGUGGCCAGUGGACUGAGUCCUUUGAUCGCUUGUUUCCUAGAUACAGGCGAUCGGGGACUAAUGUCUGCUUUUGUGGAACGUUGGCAUAAGGAAACUAGCAGUUUCCAUUUGCCCGUUGGAGAGGUGACUAUCACCUUGGAUGAGGUUGAGUCGUUGUUACAUUUGCCUGUUGUAGAGGCAUUCCACAUCUUGAGCAACUUCAUGUCGACGACGCUGUCCAGAUGUUGGUGGAGUUACUCGAGGUCAGCAUUGCAGAGGCAAGAGCAGAGACCAUUCAGUGUCAUGGGUCUUAUGUGCGAUUAUCGUGGUUGCGCGACCCGUAUAAGCUGAAGAUUGAGGCAUGUGACUAGAUUGUAGCAACGCGAGCGUAUUUGUGCAUCUCCUUGGAUGCACACUCUUUGCUAACAAGAGUGCCCCACACGUGCACAUAGUAUUCUUGGAUGCAUUGCAUGACCUGAUGUAGAGUGCGAGUUACGCUUGGGGUGUUGCUGCACUUGUGCACAUGUAUGAUAAUUUAAAUGACACAUCCAAGAGUACGGCGAGGCAGUUUGCAGGAUAUAGCACUCUGUUAUAGGUUAGUUAAGAUGUCACGAAAAGUUUUUUCAUUGAAGUUUAUUAUUAUAUGUUGCUGUGUAGUUUAAUAAAUAUGUUUGUAAAAUAUAUUUAGUGUUGGAUUUAUGAGCAUUUUCCGCUCGUUGCUUCCGUUGUUAUUGCUGAGGAUUACGACGAGAGGAGACCACGUGCAUGUCAUUGGACCUCUGACAAGGCACUGCCCGUUUCCAUGUAUUGGAGGCGUCUGGAUAGACUAACCCUUUACGCGGUGUGUUGGAUUCUAUACAGUGACCACCGUUCAUUUAGAGAAUUUGAGGUCAUCUCAUUAUUUUUCGUCCAUCUCAGAUGGGGCCCCUUGAUGGUCAUUCACCAACCGGAGAGGGUUGUACGACAAUUCGGCUACAUCCAGACUAUUCCGCCACACCCUUUUGUGUCUUCGCUGUUUGCUGUAGAAAUUGAUGAUAGAUGGAUGCAGUUUGGUGACUACAUUGCACCUGUAGGGAAAUUAUGUGCAGUGCCUGGCCACUGUUUGCUAGAUUACCUAGAUUGAUUUUGCAUGAUCUCGCACCCAUUCAUGAGUCCGACACAAUCAGGGGAUCCUCCUAGAGUACCGUCAGUUUAGCAAGAUGAAGAAUUUGUUGAAUCAGAUAUGUAUCAGCAACCGAUGGCAGUAGCGACACCUAAUGAGCCAGACAUCGAUCAGCAUCAUCUUUGACAUGCAGUGGAUGACUUUGCAGAAAUUGUUGAUAGGUUAGACAGACUACUGAACCUAAGGAUCUUGACCAAAGGAAUUGAAGCCUAUACUGUUGUUGAAGAAUGUGUGGGCAUCGCAAGGCACUACAUUGGCCAAGGCGGUGUAUGGACGGACAUUGAAGUUUUACUUUGGCUUUGUAAAUUUUCGGUGUAUAAUUUUUGUAUAUUUAUUUAUUUUGGAUAUUUUAUUUAUUUUGUAUAUUUAUUUAUCGACAGUGAGACUUUUUUAUUUAAUUUUAA